rnacentral:rRNA from 1 species
AUUGAACGCUGGCGGCAGGCCUAACACAUGCAAGUCGAACGGUAACAGGAAGAAGCUUGCUUCUUUGCUGACGAGUGGCGGACGGGUGAGUAAUGUCUGGGAAACUGCCUGAUGGAGGGGGAUAACUACUGGAAACGGUAGCUAAUACCGCAUAACGUCGCAAGACCAAAGAGGGGGACCUUCGGGCCUCUUGCCAUCUUUUGUGCCCAGAUGGGAUUAGCUAGUAGGUGGGGUAACGGCUCACCUAGGCGACGAUCCCUAGCUGGUCUGAGAGGAUGACCAGCCACACUGGAACUGAGACACGGUCCAGACUCCUACGGGAGGCAGCAGUGGGGAAUAUUGCACAAUGGGCGCAAGCCUGAUGCAGCCAUGACGCGUGUAUGAAGAAGGCAUUCGGGUUGUAAAGUACUUUCAGCGGGGAGGAAGGGAGUAAAGUUAAUACCUUUACUAAUUGACGUUACCCGCAGAAGAAGCACCGGAUAACUACGUG